CCAGGCCAAGGCCGGAUAGGCCGGACCGGCGGUGGCCCGGUCGGCCCGACGGGCUCCCUCCCCCUUCGGCCUUCUCCACUUCCCGUCUCCUUCCCCCCUUCCCGUCUCAGUUUCCCCUCCCCUUCCCAGUUCCCCCCGACGGGCUCCCUUCCCCACUUCCCGUCUCCUUCCCCCUUCCCGUCUCCCUCUCCCUUCUCCUUCCCCUUCCCAGUUCCCCCUCCCCCCCCCUUCCCGUCUCCCUCCCCCUUCCCGAUUUCAGAUUUUUAGAGAGCGUGUCGACAUGGCGCCGGAGCCUUGUGGUGGUGUUUUGAGAAGCACGGUUCACAUCCAGGAUGGUCCGACAAGGAUCCAGUGUGAUGCUGAAAGCCGAAGCGAGCUCCGGUGGGAUCAGCGUCUGCAAGAGGGGCGUCAAAUCCUCCAAGCUUAUGGGAUACAGAUGAAGAGUACAUAUAAGAGAAGACAUAUCGUCCAUUCGACAUAUAAGACUAACUCACAUAAGCUAAAAAAAAUAUGAUACCAUGGAGAGUGAAGAUACAAGUAGUGAACAGCAUACAACUGAUGCAUGCCCUUCUGGCCCUUCAAAUAAGAAUUCACAUGGCAUCACUCGAGCUUAAGAAAUGGUUCAAGGUACAAGAUAACAAUGAACCCAUUGGGCCAACCUAUUGAAAGAGAGGCACAAUAUUUGACGACAUACAUCGGUGCACAGGUGGACGAUCCUUUUGUCACACUGUUUUUGUAUUAUAAUUUUUUUGAGCUUCCAGCUUCAUUGAAGACAGAUCUAUCGUUACGUGUACAAGUAUGUAAUGUUUUCAUAUAAAUUGUUU